AGCGGCGGACGGGUGAGUAAAGCGUGGGUAACCUGCCCUGUACACACGGAUAACAUACCGAAAGGUAUGCUAAUACGAGAUAAUAUGCUUUUAUCGCAUGGUAGAAGUAUCAAAGCUCUGGCGGUACAGGAUGGACCCGCGUCUGAUUAGCUAGUUGGUAAGGUAACGGCUUACCAAGGCGACGAUCAGUAGCCGACCUGAGAGGGUGAUCGGCCACAUUGGAACUGAGACACGGUCCAAACUCCUACGGGAGGCAGCAGUGGGGAAUAUUGCACAAUGGGCGAAAGCCUGAUGCAGCAACGCCGCGUGAGCGAUGAAGGCCUUCGGGUCGUAAAGCUCUGUCCUCAAGGAAGAUAAUGACGGUACUUGAGGAGGAAGCCCCGGCUAACUACGUGCCAGCAGCCGCGGUAAUACGUAGGGGGCUAGCGUUAUCCGGAAUUACUGGGCGUAAAGGGUGCGUAGGUGGUUUCUUAAGUCAGAGGUGAAAGGCUACGGCUCAACCGUAGUAAGCCUUUGAAACUGGGAAACUUGAGUGCAGGAGAGGAGAGUGGAAUUCCUAGUGUAGCGGUGAAAUGCGUAGAUAUUAGGAGGAACACCAGUUGCGAAGGCGGCUCUCUGGACUGUAACUGACACUGAGGCACGAAAGCGUGGGGAGCAAACAGGAUUAGAUACCCUGGUAGUCCACGCCGUAAACGAUGAGUACUAGCUGU
rnacentral:rRNA from 1 species